GGGCCCAUAGCUCAAUGGUUAGAGCACUGGUCUCGUAAUCCAGAGUUCAAUUCUCACUGGGUCUU